GGGAAGCGGCGAACGGGUGAGUAACACCUAGGUGAUCUGCCCAUCAGACGGGGACAACGAUUGGAAACGAUCGCUAAUACCGGAUAGGACGAAAGUUUAAAGAUGCUCCUGGCAUCACUGAUGGAUGAGCCUGCGGCGCAUUAGCUAGUUGGUGGGGUAAAGGCCUACCAAGGCGACGAUGCGUAGCCGACCUGAGAGGGUGAACGGCCACACUGGGACUGAGGCACGGCCCAGACUCCUACGGGAGGCAGCAGUAGGGAAUCUUCGGCAAUGGGCGAAAGCCUGACCGAGCAACGCCGCGUGAAUGAAGAAGGCCUUCGGGUUGUAAAAUUCUGUUAUAAGGGAAGAAAGGUGAUAGGAGGAAAUGACUAUCAAUUGACGGUACCUUAUGAGAAAGCCACGGCUAACUACGUGCCAGCAGCCGCGGUAAUACGUAGGUGGCAAGCGUUAUCCGGAAUUAUUGGGCGUAAAGAGCGCGCAGGUGGUUAAUUAAGUCUGAUGUGAAAGCCCACGGCUUAACCGUGGAGGGUCAUUGGAAACUGGUUGACUUGAGUGCAGAAGAGGGAAGUGGAAUUCCAUGUGUAGCGGUGAAAUGCGUAGAGAUAUGGAGGAACACCAGUGGCGAAGGCGGCUUCCUGGUCUGCAACUGACACUGAGGCGCGAAAGCGUGGGGAGCAAACAGGAUUAGAUACCCUGGUAGUCCACGCCGUAAACGAUGAGUGCUAAGUGUUGGGGGUCGAACCUCAGUGCUGAAGUUAACGCAUUAAGCACUCCGCCUGGGGAGUACGGUCGCAAGACUGAAACUC
rnacentral:rRNA from 1 species